rnacentral:misc_RNA from 1 species
UACAGAGGGUGCAAGCGUUAAUCGGAAUUACUGGGCGUAGAGCGCGCGUAGGUGGUUUGCUAAGUUGGAUGUGAAAGCCCCGGGCUCAACCUGGGAACUGCAUCCAAAACUGGCCGGCUAGAGUACAGUAGAGGGUGGUGGAAUUUCCUGUGUAGCGGUGAAAUGCGUAGAUAUAGGAAGGAACACCAGUGGCGAAGGCGACCACCUGGACUGAUACUGGCACUGAGGUGCGAAAGCAUGGGGAGCGAACAGG